CAUGUAGUUUAUUUUAUUUAUUUGAUCUUAAUAUUUAAGAUGUUAAUUUGAAUAAUUAAAUUUGUUUUAAAUUUAGUAUAUUACUAAUCAUUUUUCUUUUCUUCUUGUGAAUCUAUAAUAACUAUAAAUUAUUUAACAAUUAGUUUUAAUAGUUAAAUAUAAUAGAAAAGAAUUAUAUUUAAAAUUUAGAGUAGUAUUUAAUAAAAUUAAUUUUUAAUCAUACAAAAUUAAAUUGAAAAAAUAUAAUAAAGGAUAAAUAUAGUUUAAGUUUUUUUGAUAUAAACCAAAAAUCGAUAAUAAACAAACCGAC
rnacentral:lncRNA from 1 species